rnacentral:rRNA from 1 species
GACGAACGCUGGCGGCGUGCUUAACACAUGCAAGUCGAACGGUAAGGCCCUUCGGGGUACACGAGUGGCGAACGGGUGAGUAACACGUGGGUGAUCUGCCCUGCACUUCGGGAUAAGCCUGGGAAACUGGGUCUAAUACCGGAUAGGACCACUGCCUGCAUGGGUGGUGGUGGAAAGCUUUUGCGGUUUGGGAUGGGCCCGCGGCCUAUCAGCUUGUUGGUGGGGUGAUGGCCUACCAAGGCGACGAAGGGUAGCCGGCCUGAGAGGGUGACCGGCCACACUGGGACUGAGAUACGGCCCAGACUCCUACGGGAGGCAGCAGUGGGGAAUAUUGCACAAUGGGCGCAAGCCUGAUGCAGCGACGCCGCGUGAGGGAUGACGGCCUUCGGGUUGUAAACCUCUUUCAGCACCGACGAAGCGCAAGUGACGGUAGGUGCAGAAGAAGGACCGGCCAACUACGUGCCAGCCGCCGCAGUAA